UUGCACCUUGACGGUACCUAACCAGAAAGCCACGGCUAACUACGUGCCAGCAGCCGCGGUAAUACGUAGGUGGCAAGCGUUGUCCGGAAUUAUUGGGCGUAAAGGGCUCGCAGGCGGUUUCUUAAGUCUGAUGUGAAAGCCCCCGGCUCAACCGGGGAGGGUCAUUGGAAACUGGGAAACUUGAGUGCAGAAGAGGAGAGUGGAAUUCCACGUGUAGCGGUGAAAUGCGUAGAGAUGUGGAGGAACACCAGUGGCGAAGGCGACUCUCUGGUCUGUAACUGACGCUGAGGAGCGAAAGCGUGGGGAGCGAACAGGAUUAGAUACCCUGGUAGUCCACGCCGUAAACGAUGAGUGCUAAGUGUUAGGGGGUUUCCGCCCCUUAGUGCUGCAGCUAACGCAUUAAGCACUCCGCCUGGGGAGUACGGUCGCAAGACUGAAACUCAAAGGAAUUGACGGGGGCCCGCACAAGCGGUGGAGCAUGUGGUUUAAUUCGAAGCAACGCGAAGAACCUUACCAGGUCUUGACAUCCUCUGACAACCCUAGAGAUAGGGCUUUCCCUUCGGGGACAGAGUGACAGGUGGUGCAUGGUUGUCGUCAGCUCGUGUCGUGAGAUGUUGGGUUAAGUCCCGCAACGAGCGCAACCCUUGAUCUUAGUUGCCAGCAUU
rnacentral:rRNA from 1 species